rnacentral:rRNA from 1 species
GAUGAACGCUGGCGGCGUGCCUAACACAUGCAAGUCGAGCGGAGAUUUGAGAAGCAGUAAUGCGGAACAGAUUUCAGCGGCGGACGGGUGAGUAACACGUGAGCAAUCUGCCUCUUGCUGGGGAAUAACAUUGUGAAAACAGUGCUAAUACCGCAUGACAUCCGACCGGGACAUCCCGGACGGAUCAAAGGAGAAAUCCGGCAGGAGAUGAGCUCGCGUCCGAUUAGCUAGUUGGCGGGGUAAAGGCCCACCAAGGCGACGAUCGGUAGCCGAACUGAGAGGUUGAUCGGCCACAUUGGGACUGAGACACGGCCCAGACUCCUACGGGUGGCAG